UGUUUAUGGCUCAAGUUUGAUUCUGUGAAAAAGGAGAGGACUAACAAUCUUACUGGGUUUGUUUAUCGUUCCAGAGUUGAAGCAGAAUAGAGUUUGACUUAACCUAUGCAUCCAGAGUCUGAUAUUUUUCUAAAAGAUGUGUCAUGUGUUCUUGCAGACAUAAUCGUAGGCACUGUUGAAGCUGUGUUUUUCGUUCUGGAGACCUGUACAUGUUCUUUGAUAAAGCAUGGUGAAUGACUUCA